AACGAACGCUGGCGGCAGGCUUAACACAUGCAAGUCGAGCGCCCCGCAAGGGGAGCGGCAGACGGGUGAGUAACGCGUGGGAACGUACCCUUUGCUACGGAAUAGCUCCGGGAAACUGGAAUUAAUACCGUAUGCGCCCUACGGGGGAAAGAUUUAUCGGCAAAGGAUCGGCCCGCGUUGGAUUAGCCAGUUGGUGGGGUAAUGGCCUACCAAGGCGACGAUCCAUAGCUGGUCUGAGAGGAUGAUCAGCCACAUUGGGACUGAGACACGGCCCGAACUCCUACGGGAGGCAGCAGUGGGGAAUAUUGGACAAUGGGCGCAAGCCUGAUCCAGCCAUGCCGCGGGAGUGAUGAAGGCCUUAGGGUUGUAAAGCUCUUUCACCGGAGAAGAUAAUGACGGUAUCCGGAGAAGAAGCCCCGGCUAACUUCGUGCCAGCCGCCGCCGUAAAAC
rnacentral:rRNA from 1 species